rnacentral:rRNA from 1 species
CCUACGGGAGGCUGCAGUGGGGAAUAUUGGACAAUGGGGGGAACCCUGAUCCAGCCAUGCCGCGUGUGUGAAGAAGGCCCUCGGGUUGUAAAGCACUUUCAGUGAGGAAUAACGCCUGGUGGUUAAUACCCAUCAGGAAAGACAUCACUCACAGAAGAAGCACCGGCUAACUCCGUGCCAGCAGCCGCGGUAAUACGGAGGGUGCGAGCGUUAAUCGGAAUUACUGGGCGUAAAGCGCGCGUAGGUGGCUUGAUAAUCCGGUUGUGAAAGCCCCGGGCUCAACCUGGGAACGGCAUCCGGAACUGUCAAGUUAGAGUGCCGGAGAGGAAGGUAGAAUUCCCGGUGUAGCGGUGAAAUGCGUAGAGAUCGGGAGGAAUACCAGUGGCGAAGGCGGCCUUCUGGACUGACACUGACACUGAGGUGCGAAAGCGUGGGUAGCAAACAGGAUUAGAUACCCGAGUAGUC